UUUCAUAUUGAACUGUUUUGAUGACUUGUAUUCUGCUAUACAAAAUGUGCUUUUUUCAAUUUCAGGUCAGCAAUGGUAAGUAUAUUGUGUUUCUUUAUGUAUAAUUUUGUAUACAUAUUGUUUUUUUCAUCAUAGCAUGUUUUUUAUAUUUAUGCUUUGUGUAAGUAAAAUGUUCAUAAAUCAUUCUUAUCUUUAAACUAAAAAUGUAUUUUGAUAUGCAAAAUGUCUGUAUGAUUUCAGUUGCCAGAGGUGAGUACCAUAACAGUUGAAAAGUUAGUUUUGUUUAGUUAAAGUUUUGGUUUACAGUUUUGUUUGUUAUUUGGCAAAAUUUACAUGUAUGCAUUGAGUCUUGAUUUCAGCUCGAUUGUGGACUGAAGAAGAUUGCCAGCAGAGGGAUUGGAUACAAAAUACAAACUUUACUGCUGGACGAGUGUUCUCAACUACUAGACGAGUCAGGUUUACUACCAGGCGAGCAGUGACAACAAGGCGCCUUUGUGGAAACAACACAACAAAAAACUCUACUGCAAGACGAGCAGUGACAGCAAGGCGCCUGAACAUGCAACACAAUACAAAAAAUGCCAAUUUGCAAACCUUGAUGUGGACACCGAGUAGUCAAUACAUACGUGUGGCGUAUAGCUGCGACAAAACCGUGGGUCCAUCGCACCGAUAACUUGAACAUUGGCCCGUGUAUGGACAUCAGUGCAACUUUGUGAAUCCAUGUAUCUUUGUGAAUCCAUGUAACAUUGCGAAUGUGUGUCGAUCGAAAAAUGUGUACAUUCUGAACUGAAACGAACUCGGUGUUGCAAGUGGCAAGUGUUGACAGUGUGUAUGUUUAUGUUUAUGUUUUUACAUGAAAACUAAAGGAGAUUGUUCUCCUACCUUUUUUUUCCUUGUUUUAUUGCGCUGGCCAGCAAUAUUGAUGUAUUGAUGUAUGUGUUUGUGUUUAAACUAUGCAAUACCAAAAUCAAACAAAAAAUAAACAUUAACAGUCAUUAACUGUG